AGCAGCAGGGCCUAAUGGAUAGAGCACCUGGCUGGGGGUCAGAAGGGCCUGGGUUCUAAUCCCAGCUCUGCCA
rnacentral:tRNA from 1 species